rnacentral:rRNA from 1 species
GACGAACGCUGGCGGCGUGCUUAACACAUGCAAGUCGAACGGAAAGGCCCUGCUUUUGUGGGGUGCUCGAGUGGCGAACGGGUGAGUAACACGUGAGUAACCUGCCCUUGACUUGGGGAUAACUUCAGGAAACUGGGGCUAAUACCGGAUAGGAGCUCCUGCUGCAUGGUGGGGGUUGGAAAGUUUCGGCGGUUGGGGAUGGACUCGCGGCUUAUUAGCUUGUUGGUGGGGUAGUGGCUUACCAAGGCUUUGACGGGUAGCCGGCCUGAGAGGGUGACCGGCGACAUUGGGACUAGGAUACGGCGCAGACUCGUACGGGAGGCAGCAGUGGGGAAGAUUACACAAUGGACGGAAGCCUGAGGCAGAAACGCCGCGUGCUGGAUGACGGCCUUCGCGUUAUAAACCGAUUUCGCCUGUGACGAAGCGUGAGUGACGGUAAUGGGUAAAGAAGCACCGGCUAACUACGUG